AGACAGACAGACAGAGGCGUUCAUUCAGAAAGAAGUAGGAGGGCUUCAGGGAUUCAGCGGAGGAGACUGAAAGCCUGAGAGACGAUGCCUCUGAGAAGGUUACAGGCAAGCAGCAGGCUCUCCCACUUAGACAAGUGGAGGGGGAUAUAAGCAAACAAAGUUGGGGUGAUGGGGGGAAGGAGGCUUCUGGUCCUCUCAGUGUUUGUGUGGAAAGGUCACUCUCACUGCAGCCCAAUGACGUGCUGUGCAGGCCAAUGGGAGUCCAGGCUGUCUUUCCUGUGAAGACCCAGCACUUUGCUCAUUCAUGGAACCUGCCAGUCUCUUUGGCAAUGUGUUUUAUUGAAACCCUAUGCUUUUCUUUGAAUUUGGUAGUAGCUAUGGCCCCCUUGACUCUUGUUACUGUCUGUGGUCCUAACACGCGGAUACAAUACAUCUCUCAGCUCUGUGCUGAUCAGGCGUUUGCCAGUUCUGUCUUGGCAGGAGAGUCUAGGUUCCUGGGAUGACCGGUCGGAGCCUCUCUGAUUACAGCGAUGAUAGUUGCUCUGGGUGGGCAGGGAGUGUACAGCAGGAUGCCGUAGCCCGUGCUUAGCCGCAGCCCCAUCGGAGAGUCCUCUCAGUCUGCUAUGGUAGAGAUCAGAUUUUCUUUUCCAGACCUUGGGAGAAAGCGCUUUCACCUCCUCACCACAGACACUCUCGACUGUGGACUCAGGACACUAAGCCAGAAAGGUGACGAUUUCCUUCUUGAACCCGGCCUGCAUCAGCAGCUCAGACCCAGGGCUCCGGGUCCUUUGCUCUAUGUCCAGUGCUCUUUUUGCUCCCUCACACACUUAGCGAUGGCAGUGUUCUUAGUAUACUCAAAGAGCUUUGUAAUGAAUUAGAGCAGCCAUUCCCAACCUUCCUAGUGCUGCGGUCCUUUAAUACAGUUUCUUAAGUUGUGGCGAACCAUCCCCCCCACCCCCAACCAUAACAUUAUUCUUGCUGCUGCUGUUAUGAAUCGUAAUGAAACAUUUGAUCUGCAGUACAUCUGAUAUGUGAUUCCCGAGAAAGGGCCAUCAUAUUCCAAGGGAUCGGGACCCACAGCGUGAGAAGCCCUGAACUAGAGAUCCGCCUAAACUGAGAAACAACCUAGCACCUAUCCCAGCCCAUCAAUGUUGUAUAUGGCAACAGAUUCAAAAGCCCAGACUAAAACAUACUCACCAUCCAUGUUACCAGCUCUCACCAUGGGGCAGCAAUGUGGAUUUAGUAAGCAUAGCCCACGGGCACUCAUUUUGAAGACACUAGGAGAACUUCAAAGCCAGGUUUGUUCUUCUGCCUCUGGUGACAUUUUUAAAAUUUCAGCACUGUUUUUUUUUUUAAUUGAUUCUUUGUGAAUUUCAUAUCAUGCACCUCAGUCCUGCACAUCUCCUGUCCCCUCCCUCCCUCCAACCUCCACCCUUCCCCAACAAAGAAAAAUAAGUCCCCACUAUGGAA
rnacentral:lncRNA from 1 species